CCUCCGGGUGGCUGCAGUGGGGAAUCUUGCACAAUGGGCGCAAGCCUGAUGCAGCCAUGCCGCGUGUCUGAAGAAUGCCUUCGGGUUGUAAAGUACUUUCAGUCGUGAGGAAGGUGUUAAGGUUAAUAACCUUAGCAAUUGACGUUAUCGACAGAAGAAGCACUGGCUAACCCCGUGCCAGCAGCCGCGGUAAUACGGUGGGUGCGAGCGUUAAUCGGAAUUACUGGGCGUAAAGGGCACGCAGGCGGAGAAUUAAGUUGGAUGUGACAUCCCCGGGCUUAAACUGGGAAUUGCAUUCAAGACUGGUUAGCUAGAGGCUUAUAGAGGGACGGAGAAUUCCAUGUGUAGCGGUGAAAUGCGUAGAGAUGUGGAGGAAUACCGGUGGCGAAGGCGGCCCCCUGGACAAAGACUGACGCGCAUGUGCGAAAGCGUGGGGAGCAAACAGGAUUAGAUACCCCAGUAUUC
rnacentral:rRNA from 1 species